CCCGGUCCCGGUCCGGUGCCGGGGGUCUAGGGCAGCGCCUGCGGGGAGGGACCGGCGGCGGGAGGGAAAGGCGUUGUCAUGGUUCCCGGCAUCUCCAUCCCCGCGGCGCUUCCAUAAUCCCCCCGCCCCCCGGGGCGGCAGGCGGGGGUCCUGGGGGUCCCGUCCGGUCCCGUCCGGCCCGGUCCCGCCUCCCGGCCCCCGGGAUGCGGGGACCGACGGGGCUGACGACACCCAAACCCGCAGCGGCCUUGCUCCUCCCCUCCUCCUCCUCCUCCGGGACGCCCGCCCUACAGAAACGCUGGGAGAAGUCACCUCGCUCACCUCUUCCGUGCCCUCUCCUUACUGAAAAUUUCGCCGCCGCCUUUAAACGCCGAAACCACCUGGCUGGAAAAAUCCUCUACAGGCCCUUCCGUGGCAAGCAUCCCCCCUCACUUCUCCCAGAUCAACCAACCAACGGUCCCAUCUCGUUAUGGACCAGACGCUUGCCACCCUUUCCUCAGUACCUUUCUUGCCCAAUCUGCUCUUCUCCAAAUAAUAAUUGUACUAAGCGCUGGGACGGAUACGAGCAAAUCGGG